rnacentral:rRNA from 1 species
UUCCCAUUCCGAACAGAGAAGUUAAGCCUUGUCACGCCGAUGGUACUGCGUCACAGUGGGAGAGUAGGUAGCUGCCGUUUU